UCCAGUGGCAGUUUGGGAAAAAGGUUAAAAAAAAAAAAAAAUUGGGGGUGGAGGGGGGCGCGGAGGUGGAGGACCAUGUUAUUUGUGAGUUUCAAAGGCUGAACUCCAGAUUUGACCAGUGCAGGUAAGAAGGCGGCUGGUUUUGUCUCACACCUGUCACAGGUAGGUUCUCUGUUCGGGAAUAUUUCUCACUUUGUUUUAGAGAAAUGAAGCAGGCUUUGUGAAGGGCAAAAGGUGGAUCAUUCAAAUUAUGAAUAUAAUUUUUACAGCCUAGACAUUGCGCCUGAUGUUUCACAUGUAAACUUGAUGGGACAUUUGGGAGGUGACUGAGGGCAUUGUGGGAUUUGACCGUGUACAUAGUCUCUAACUUGUAAAAACCUGAAGAAGUGGGACACAUCCAUUUAUUUAAAAAACUAUUAUAGUAGGCUAAUUCAUGUGGGUUUCACAAUUUCUUUUCCUAAAUUUACAUCCAAACUCAUAAUCAUACACAUUAAUAAGACACAAAGAAUUCUGUUAUUGUUAUUUUAUUCUUUAAUGCUGCUUUAGUUUUGUAUUUGGAAAAUGAGCAUAAACCUAUAUCUUAACAACACACCUUACACAUAACUACACAUUCAUGUUAUUCAUAAUGGUGGCCAAACGGGUCAACCUAUAUUCUGACCCUCGUUUCCAGCAGAGCACUGGAGCCUAACCCAGCAGAACACAGGGAUCACAUGCAGACUCCGCUCCGAAAGGCCCAGGCCGGGAUUCGUACCCCAGGACGUUCUUGCUGUGAGGCGACAGUUCUGCCCACUGCACCACACUGACAUGCCGUUGUAUUUUAGAAACAUCAAGGAAUGAAAAUGUGAAUCAAUGCUUUAUGUCUGACUUUACCACAGGGCUUUCAAGUCUUCAGUGGCUGCAGGUAUUACAUGGUCAAGAGGUGGAUCAAGGUGUACAAACUACAAAGGAUUCCUGUGGAUGUGGAAUCAGCCAGACAGAUUGAUGGAAUAAUGGACACACAGAGACACUGAUCUGUGUGAUUCAUCCCCCCAUCUAUGUCUACCUUGUAUGAAAUUAACUAAAAAUAACAUAAACAUAUAAAACACACUUCUUUGGAAGGGGUACAGAUGCUCAGUCAUUGUCGUAGGUGCAACCUGGAAGAAAUGAAGAAGAGCACAUUAGAACAUUGAUUACUCCACAGUGUCUAAUUACAAUUUGCUUGUGAAAAAUAAAUCCCCUCCACAUAUUCGACUUUGUUAUCAGAAAAAUGUAUAUUCAUGUAGCUCAGUGUCAGAACAUACCUUCACCGACGUCAUCGUAAAUAUCAGCGUCUCUGUUUGAGGUAAAACAGAAAUUUUACAGAACAGUGAGACUCAAAAGAUCAAGGCUAUUGGAGGAGAGUAAGUUACAUCACAAAACAUCCAAUAUAGCAUUCAGGAAAAAAACAAACUCAGUUAUUAGUAUGUUAUCUCAACAUUUACAAGGGGUCAGAAGUGUAUGUACACACUUACAGUAUUGAUACUAUACUAUUUGUUUGCUCAAUGUGUACAUGUCAUAACAAUGUACAUUAAAAUUGUUAUUUGAAUUUGAAUGAUACAACUUGAGGAUUACUUACUCAGGUAUGAUGUUGCCCACUGAAACGUAACCAACUGCAGGACAAAGAGAGAUGAAGUUACACCAUGCCUGAAACCUAACGGCAUUUGGCACUUUUAAAGAGCGCUAUCUGUGUGCAAACAGCAGGAUGGAACUGUCCAAUCAUCUGUCACUCACUUUUCCCCUCCUGAUUCCGGCCAAUCAGCUUGUUGUUGCUGGGCUCCACGAUGACAUCGAUCUUCUCUCCCGGCUUCAGGGGCAAGUCUUUGCUCCCCCACUUCCUCGUGGUCAACGUGGACACGAUGGUCACCUGGUGGAGCACCUGGAUCUCGCCAUCGAACUGCUCGCAAAUACAGGUCAGGGAAGGGUUAAAUACAUCUGAAGGAAAAAUAGCUAUAGCUUUGGAGUGGUCAUAUCUCAGAUACCGUGAGAUCGGUUUAACUGGUCAUACAUUCUGGACAUUACAUGCAGUAGGUAGCUGGGGAAACACACAUUCUAGCUACCAAUGGCCUGCUUAAGGAGGCGAAUGGGCACUGAUACCUACUGGAGCAUACCUGUCACGGAGCACACCUGUCUCAUCUGUAACCCUGUUUGAUUUGACAGCAUUCUUGUGGCUGUCAAAUGUGGCUGUCCAAUGUGGCUGCCAAACAUGUAACAAACUAAACUAAGCUAAACGUUUUGUAUUUUUCAGCUUUGGUGUUUGUUCUUAUGUACUCUUUAAAAUAAAAAAGAUCAAAUUCUCAA